rnacentral:rRNA from 1 species
UACGUAGGGUGCUAGCGUUGUCCGGAAUUACUGGGCGUAAAGAGCUCGUAGGUGGUUUGUCGCGUUGUUCGUGAAAACUCACAGCUUAACUGUGGGCGUGCGGGCGAUACGGGCAGACUUGAGUACUGCAGGGGAGACUGGAAUUCCUGGUGUAGCGGUGGAAUGCGCAGAUAUCAGGAGGAACACCGGUGGCGAAGGCGGGUCUCUGGGCAGUAACUGACGCUGAGGAGCGAAAGCGUGGGGAGCGAACAGG